rnacentral:rRNA from 1 species
UACGUAGGGGGCAAGCGUUGUCCGGAAUUAUUGGGCGUAAAGGGCGCGCAGGCGGUCUCUUAAGUCUGGUGUAUAAGCCCGUGUCUCAACCACGGGACGCACGGGAAACUGGGGGACUGGAGUGCAGGAGAGGAAAGUGGAAUUCCACGUGUAGCGGUGAAAUGCGUAGAGAUGUGGAGGAACACCAGUGGCGAAGGCGACUUUCUGGCCUGUAACUGACGCUGAGGCGCGAAAGCGUGGGGAGCGAACA